GGCGCCUACACUGAGUCGAGCGGAAACGAGUUAUCUGAACCUUCGGGGAACGAUAACGGCGUCGAGCGGCGGACGGGUGAGUAAUGCCUAGGAAAUUGCCCUGAUGUGGGGGAUAACCAUUGGAAACGAUGGCUAAUACCGCAUGAUGCCUACGGGCCAAAGAGGGGGACCUUCGGGCCUCUCGCGUCAGGAUAUGCCUAGGUGGGAUUAGCUAGUUGGUGAGGUAAGGGCUCACCAAGGCGACGAUCCCUAGCUGGUCUGAGAGGAUGAUCAGCCACACUGGAACUGAGACACGGUCCAGACUCCUACGGGAGGCAGCAGUGGGGAAUAUUGCACAAUGGGCGCAAGCCUGAUGCAGCCAUGCCGCGUGUGUGAAGAAGGCCUUCGGGUUGUAAAGCACUUUCAGUCGUGAGGAAGGUGGUGUAGUUAAUAGCUGCAUUAUUUGACGUUAGCGACAGAAGAAGCACCGGCUAACUCCGUGCCAGCAGCCGCGGUAAUACGGAGGGUGCGAGCGUUAAUCGGAAUUACUGGGCGUAAAGCGCAUGCAGGUGGUUUGUUAAGUCAGAUGUGAAAGCCCGGGGCUCAACCUCGGAAUAGCAUUUGAAACUGGCAGACUAGAGUACUGUAGAGGGGGGUAGAAUUUCAGGUGUAGCGGUGAAAUGCGUAGAGAUCUGAAGGAAUACCGGUGGCGAAGGCGGCCCCCUGGACAGAUACUGACACUCAGAUGCGAAAGCGUGGGGAGCAAACAGGAUUAGAUACCCUGGUAGUCCACGCCGUAAACGAUGUCUACUUGGAGGUUGUGGCCUUGAGCCGUGGCUUUCGGAGCUAACGCGUUAAGUAGACCGCCUGGGGAGUACGGUCGCAAGAUUAAAACUCAAAUGAAUUGACGGGGGCCCGCACAAGCGGUGGAGCAUGUGGUUUAAUUCGAUGCAACGCGAAGAACCUUACCUACUCUUGACAUCCAGAGAACUUUCCAGAGAUGGAUUGGUGCCUUCGGGAACUCUGAGACAGGUGCUGCAUGGCUGUCGUCAGCUCGUGUUGUGAAAUGUUGGGUUAAGUCCCGCAACGAGCGCAACCCUUAUCCUUGUUUGCCAGCGAGUAAUGUCGGGAACUCCAGGGAGACUGCCGGUGAUAAACCGGAGGAAGGUGGGGACGACGUCAAGUCAUCAUGGCCCUUACGAGUAGGGCUACACACGUGCUACAAUGGCGCAUACAGAGGGCGGCCAACUUGCGAAAGUGAGCGAAUCCCAAAAAGUGCGUCGUAGUCCGGAUUGGAGUCUGCAACUCGACUCCAUGAAGUCGGAAUCGCUAGUAAUCGUGGAUCAGAAUGCCACGGUGAAUACGUUCCCGGGCCUUGUACACACCGCCCGUCACACCAUGGGAGUGGGCUGCAAAAGAAGUAGGUAGUUUAACCUUCGGGGGGACUACC
rnacentral:rRNA from 1 species